GCCUUCGUGGUGUAACGGUAGCACACUUGACGCGUAUUCCAGAAGUCCAGGUUCGAGUCCCGGCGAGGACA
rnacentral:tRNA from 1 species